rnacentral:tRNA from 1 species
GGGCGUGUAGCUCAGCGGGAGAGCACUACGUUGACAUCGUAGGGGUCACAGGUUCAAUCCCUGUUACGCCCA